rnacentral:rRNA from 1 species
UAUUAUAUAUUAAUUUACUCUGAAUAAAUAUAUUUAAUUAUAUUUACCUAAAAAAUGAAAUUUCCAAUAUAAAUAAUACUAAAAUCCUUCACUCUUUAGACAAAAACCAGGAUUAGAUACCCUGUUAUUCUAAAUAACUACAAUAAUUCAAGGAAAAAACAAAAUAAAUUUGACGGUAUUAACCUUUACAAAGGAAUUUGUUUCUUUAUCGACAACCCACGAAGAACCUUACUUAAUACUUAUUUGUAUACCACCGUUUCUGAAAUUAUUUAAAAUAAAUUUCAAAUAAACAUAACUUUAUAAAAUCAGGUCAAGGUGCAAUUUUAUUAAGAUGAAAUGAAUUACAUUAAUAUUUUUUACUUAUAAAAAUUGAAAACUUUUUAAAAACAGAAUUUGUUAGUAAAUUUUAAUCAGAAUGUAAAAUUGAAAACCAACAUUAAUAUG